UACGUAGGGGGCAAGCGUUGUCCGGAAUCAUUGGGCGUAAAGCGCGUGUAGGCGGCCCGGUAAGUCCGCUGUGAAAGUCGGGGGCUCAACCCUCGAAUGCCGGUGGAUACUGUCGGGCUAGAGUGCGGAAGAGGAGAGUGGAAUUCCUGGUGUAGCGGUGAAAUGCGCAGAUAUCAGGAAGAACACCUAUGGCGAAGGCAGCUCUCUGGGACGGUACUGACGCUGAGACGCGAAAGCGUGGGGAGCGAACAGG
rnacentral:rRNA from 1 species